rnacentral:rRNA from 1 species
ACCAGACUCCUACGGGAGGCAGCAGUGAGGAAUAUUGGUCAAUGGGAGAGAUCCUGAACCAGCCAAGCCGCGUGAGGGAAGACGGCCCUAUGGGUUGUAAACCUCUUUUGUCGGAGAACAAAACCCGGGACGUGUCCCGGACUGCGUGUAUCCGAAGAAAAAGCAUCGGCUAACUCCGUGCCAGCAGCCGCGGUAAUACGGAGGAUGCGAGCGUUAUCCGGAUUUAUUGGGUUUAAAGGGUGCGUAGGCGGUCCGUUAGGUCAGCGGUAAAAUGGCGGGGCUCAACCCCGGCGAGCCGUUGAAACUGGCAGACUUGAGUUGGCGAGAAGUAUGCGGAAUGCGCGGUGUAGCGGUGAAAUGCAUAGAUAUCACGCAGAACUCCGAUUGCGAAGGCAGCAUACCGGCGCUCAACUGACGCUCAUGCACGAAAGUGUGGGUAUCGAACAGGAUUAGAUACCCGUGUA